rnacentral:tRNA from 1 species
GGGGUUAUGGUAUAAAUGGCUAACACAGUACCCUUGCAAGGUACAGUUCUGAGUUCGAUGCUCAGUGGCUCCACCA